rnacentral:rRNA from 1 species
GUGGGGAAUUUUGGACAAUGGGCGCAAGCCUGAUCCAGCAAUGCCGCGUGUGUGAAGAAGGCCUUCGGGUUGUAAAGCACUUUUGGCAGGAAAGAAAUAGUGCGUGCUAAUACCAUGCGCGAAUGACGGUACCUGCAGAAUAAGCACCGGCUAACUACGUGCCAGCAGCCGCGGUAAGACGUAGGGUGCAAGCGUUAAUCGGAAUUACUGGGCGUAAAGCGCGCGCAGGCGGUUUUGUAAGACAGGUGUGAAAUCCCCGGGCUCAACCUGGGAACUGCACUUGGGACUGCAAGGCUAGAGUGUGUCAGAGGGAGGUGGAAUUCCGCGUGUAGCAGUGAAAUGCGUAGAGAUGCGGAGGAACACCGAUGGCGAAGGCAGCCUCCUGGGAUAACACUGACGCUCAGGCACGAAAGCGUGGGGAGCAAACAGGAUUAGAUACCCUGGUAGUCC